UUGGGUGAUCCUGGCGGAGGUCACUGCUAUCAGUGUUCGACUAAGCCGUGCGAGUCAAAUGUUCUUCGUGAACAUGGCGUACUGCUCAGUAACACGUGGACAACCUGCCCUAAGGUCUGGCAUAACUCCGGGAAACUGGGGAUAAUUCCAGAUGGACCAUAGAUACUGGAAUGUUCUGUGGUCAAAAGCUCCGGCGCCUUAGGAUGGAUCUGCGGCCUAUCAGGUAGUAGUGGGUGUAACGUACCUACUAGCCUACGACGGGUACGGGUUGUGAGAGCAAGAGCCCGGAGAUGGAUUCUGAGACAUGAAUCCAGGCCCUACGGGGCGCAGCAGGCGCGAAAACUUUACAAUGCGGGAAACCGCGAUAAGGGGACACUGAGUGCCAGCACCAUGUGUUGGCUGUCCGCAUGUAUAAAUCACAUGUGUCAGCAAGGGCCGGGCAAGACCGGUGCCAGCCGCCGCGGUAACACCGGCGGCCCGAGUGGUGGCCAUUAUUAUUGGGUCUAAAGGGUCCGUAGCCGGUUUGAUCAGUCUUCCGGGAAAUCUGACAGCUCAACUGUUAGGCUUCUGGGGGAUACUGUCAGACUUGGAACCGGGAG
rnacentral:rRNA from 1 species